rnacentral:rRNA from 1 species
UACGGGGGGGGCAAGCGUUGUUCGGAAUUACUGGGCGUAAAGGGCUCGUAGGCGGCCAACUAAGUCAGACGUGAAAUCCCUCGGCUUAACCGGGGAACUGCGUCUGAUACUGGAUGGCUUGAGUUCGGGAGAGGGAUGCGGAAUUCCAGGUGUAGCGGUGAAAUGCGUAGAUAUCUGGAGGAACACCGGUGGCGAGGGCGGCAUCCUGGACCGACACUGACGCUGAGGAGCGAAAGCCAGGGGAGCAAACGGG